UGCAUCGGCCUGGAAUCGAACCCUGGCCGCCCGCGUGGCAGGCGAGCAUUCUACCACUGAACCACCGAUGC
rnacentral:tRNA from 1 species